rnacentral:lncRNA from 1 species
UGGAAACGUGUGAUGUCUUAAAUAAGACAAAGACCAACUUGGACCAAUUUAUGAAGUGUUUUGAUAAAAGCUACACUAACUCUUGAAUAUUUGUUUGUCAAGAAAUGGUUAUUGACAAAAGAAUCUUAUAUGUCAAGGAGUCAGUGGGAGUCUUAAUGGUCUUGAAAGGUUUCAAGAACAAAUCAAAUAAACCUUAUCAAUCAUCGCUGGCACACGAGUUGAGGUUUACAACCUAUCGUGUUGACAUUAUUUUGUUUCUGUGCUAUUUCAAUUGAGUUAAUUAUGCAUGUGAGUUCUAUGAGUUCUCAUUUUGAACGCAUAAAUGGCAAAGCACCUUAAUCGAUGAAAGGUACAUUGAUAGGAAAGGGUGAGCUGCUUAACUACUUGGAAGACAUGGUGGGCAGCUGUGCUACCAUAAGGUAAGAAAUCAAGACUAAGAAAGUUCGGUCCAUAUGAGUUUGAAUUUGUUGUAAACUUUGGUUUCAACAAAUUCACAUGGAUAAGAACACAUACACUGUUUAAAAUCUAAGUGUCAUAAGAUUUCCUCCUUCAUGAAAAUGAUUGUGAGGAAAUGCUUUCACUAAGAAAGAUUUUAAGAAGAUAGUGAUUGUAAAAUUGCAUUCUCGAAUUCAAUUAUGGUUACGGUAUCCCUUUCCAUAAUUUGAAUUGUGAGGUUUGGCAAUUAGUCUUAAUUGUUUAGACACACAUAUGAACUAUCGAAGGCAAAGGUGUAUAAGUUCAAGAAGCCUUGAUAAAGGAUUAUCAAAGCACUAAGUAUUAGAAACAUGAACUUAAGAAAUUCAAUAAGUAUUGUCUUUCUGGAAGUUGAGAUGUUUAUGAAUACAUGUCGAAGCUAGUGGGAGCAUAAGUGUUAUGUUUUAUAAUAAUCAUCAUGAUAGUGGGAGCAUAAAUGUUAUGAUUGUAUGAUUAUUAAGGCACGUAUUGCAAGGUUGGCAAUAUUAAUUAUAGAAAACAAGAGUUAUACCUUGCAAAGUAGUAAGGGUUAUAAAGUUGUUUUGCUAUAAUUAAGGGAGAGAAUAUUAUGCUUCAUUUCAAAUCUAAAGGCUUAGGUUGAGAAAUGUUAAUAAAUUUAGUCAAAGGUACAUAGUGUGUUCUUAAAAUUUCGAUUAUGAUUACGGCAUUCCUCUUCACAAUUCGAAUUUUGAGAACAUAGCAAAUAAAACAUUAUGCGUCGUGUCCCAUACGCUUCGGGUAUAGGAUCGAUUGCAAAUGCUUUAAUGUUUGACCAUUCUAAAAUUUUCCAAAUGUCGAGCGCAUUUAGAGGGAAAAGGGACUAGAAUCGGUUUUGACUAAAAUAAUUAAACAACUAUCAAAGGACAAUCCAAAGUUCGACGAGGAUUGGUCGCUUGUGAGUAGUUGGAAGUAUAGUAUUGGAAAAUAUGGAAAUGUUUCCAUAUUGGAUGGACCAUAUCGACAUCAUUACGAAUAGAUAAGAUUCUAUUAAGAAUGAGUUGUCAUAUGGAACAUAUGGAAGUGUGUCCAUAUUGGGAAUUGAAUAUUGAGAAAUCUAUGACUAGAUUAGAAACUUCUAUGCAAAAGGAUGUUCAAAGAAUGUACUUUGAGUGAGAGACAUCACGUCUAUGGAAUUGUCUUGUAACAAUCUCCGAUAGAGGACUUUGUAAUAUCAUUGGCAAUAGUCUUUGUGACUUUGGUGCAGUGACAUUACGAAAGGAUAGUUGCAUAGAAUGUUAGAAUCUAGCAUAUUCUAUAAGUAGCAAGAAUUUGAUAUUCUUUGACUUAUGAAAAACGGAUUUGGAGUUGUGAAAUGAGAAGGAUUGGAAAUGUGUUCAAUGUGAUCUAUUUCACAAAGUAAGAACCAUAGGUAAACAUUGUGUGCAUGCUAGGAGCAUGGGACAAGUGUUGGAAUUCAAGUAAGAAGUUGAUUACCCGAAACGACAAAUAAUGAGUAAUCAAUAUGGUGAUAAAUAAAAGGUGUUUUAUUUAUACUCAAAGGUUUGAGGCCAUAUGGGAUUAGUAUUAUUCUUGUGUUUCACAUUUGCAUGUUUUGACUUCCAGAAUAAUUGAGUUUAUUAAGAAUAAUCGAAUUAUUCAAACGGGCCACAGUCGUUCAUAUGUUGGAAGUAGAUAUGAAUGAAGACUGUCGUGAAUUGGUGUGUGGAUUGUCUAAAAGAGUAUUAGACAUAAGCAAAUGUUUGCUGCAACGUUCAUGAGUGCUUAUGAAUGUGAUUUGAGCAUUGGAUUAAACCCACGCUCACUUGGAUCACUCCAUGAAUUGUAUCACGAGUGAUUGGUGAGACGAUAACAUCUUAUAUUCUUGAAACCGAGAUGUGUGAGUUGUAUCUUGCAAAUCGGUUGCACAUUGAUAAUAUGUAAACGCACUAGUAACUUGGUGUUAUAAAACAUAUUGUUGUGUGUGAUUCGGUGAGUGAGUGCAAGCAAGCAUUGUAUCAAAGUUUAUCCGUUCCUUUUAUCCAAAGUAGGAUAAAAGCGAUAUCUUUGGGCCCCUCGAUGGUUUAGUGAUGACAAACGUAAAUGCUCGGCCGGGCUAGGGCUAAUUUGAUUUGUUCAAUUAGUCAGUCGUCAUAAAUCGGAAAUCGAGAUAUAGUACAAAGAGAAUGAUUUGAAAUCAUAUCUCAUAUGAUAUCUAGAAUGGAGGAAUAUAUGAUCCCUUAUCUAAGGACACGCGUAUCUGAUAUGAUCAGAGUUGACAGCGGCUUUGGAAAGCUACGAUUGCAGAUCGGGAUCCGAAGUCAUACGCAGAAUAGUUGUUAGACUUAUCCAAGUGGGAGACUGUUGGAUUAGUGUCUAAGUCCAUAACUAUUUUGGUAUGUACUUGACCCGAUGGUGCAUGGUCCUUUUGGGUUGCCUUCACCAAAGCAACUUGAUUGGAGAAAUAAAUAGAGAGAGAGGUUAUUAUGAUUUAUUAAUAUGUUAUAAGAAUAAUAUAUUAAAGGAGAAAUCAUAUUUGUUUAAUUAAUAUUGGUCAAUAAUUAAUUAAGAAUUAAUUUUGUGAUCAAGUGUAAUUAAUUAAACUAGAGGGGCUGAAUUGUAAUUAUGUGAUAGUUACAAAAUAAGGUAAGGAUUAUCUUAUAUAUAUGGUGAACGAAUUUGAGGUGUAAAUCCCUUAGAAUUCGACUAGGAUAAGGAUUUCUAGGACUUAUCUUAUGGUUGCUUGGUGGACAAGCAACUAGAUAAGGAUAAGGACUAAAACCCUAAUCUUUACACCUAUAUAAACCCCCUAGGGCUUAGGAAUUCGUCUAACCCUUCCCAAGAGGUCCUAAGGACGAAUUCUAACCUCCCUCCUCUCUCUUUAUACCUUCUCCACUUGCUUAUGGUGUUUGUAAGCCAUUAGAGGAGUGACACUUGUGACUCUCAGCUUUCCAAGGUCAAUUCAAGGAGGAAUUGGAUUGUUAUUGCUAUAUAACAAUCAAGGUAUGUUCUUAAACCUAAUUACAUGUGAAUUCUGAUUUCCAUAUGCUAGAAUUAGGGUUCAAAGUCUUGGAUUCAAAGUAUGUACAAUAGAGAAACCUAGAUCCAAGCUUUAGGGUUUGUAUGAGCACAUAGGAUGUCUUAUGACCAAAACCCAUCAGUGGUAUCAGAGCCAUGAUUGGUUUCUAUUGUAUUGAUGCUUGAUGUAACUGAAAAUCGUGUUUUGGCCUCACUGUUCGACCUGACUCGGCGAGUCAGCCCUACUCGGCGAGUUCCAGAGGGUGACUCGGCGAGUCGGUGCGUCAGAUAGUGCUUAUCUCGGGAUUUCUUGCUGUUUUUGCAUUGGGAUAAUUACCUUAUCAUGUUAGAUUAAUAUUAAUCCGAUUAUAUGAUAUAUUUGACUAUAUUUUUAAUCUAAUUGAAGAUAUUUAUCAAUUAAUAAGAUAAUUGUUUCCUUAUAAGAUAAUUGAUUAAUUAUUUUAAGUAAAUUGAUAAAUUAUUUUGCAAGAAAUCAUCAAAUAUGGAUAAUUAUGUGAUUAAAUGUUAAUUUGAAUUAUUUGUUAUUUGAUCCUUGUUGUUGUGAAAAGUUUCAUAUUUGGCCCUUUAGGUUUUAUAGUUUAAAUUUGAACCCCAAAAGUUUUGUUGUUUUGAAAUUUAAAUAGUUGAAACCCUAAUGUUUUGAAAAAGGUUUCAAAACUUGCCCUCAAGUUUUGGAAUUUAAAUUUUGAUUAAAUAGUUUAAUUUUGAUGCAUAUUUAAAUUCUAAACCCUAAUGUGUUGAAAUGUUUCAAAACUUGCCCUCAAGUUUUGGAAUUUAAAAGUUGAUUAAAAGUUUAAUUAGGAAUGUUAAAUUCUAAAACUCUAGUAUAGUUUUGAAAAAGUUCAAAUCACACCCUUAUGGUUUUAUUAAUUAAUUAAGGUGUAUAAUUAAAAGAGGUUUAAUAAAUCCAUAAAAGUUUAGGUUUACAAUUUAAUUGAAUUAAAAGUAUAAUUGUUAAAUUAGACCACCUAGUAUUUUAAAAGUAUAAAAUACACCCUAUACUAUAUAUAACAUUAAAAGUCUAACAUUAUAUAUAUGUAUGAGUAAAAGUCAGUCUUACCGUUAGUAGGCCUCAUUCACGAAGCUGGUCUAUAAGGGGUGUUUAAGGAAAUUGCCUAUAAAAUGGCGAUUGAAUGGGUAUCCACUCUUACCCACCGCACUCUUGACUAGUGGAGGGUCGUUAGCCGAACGGGUAGGAUAGGACGAAACCUUCCAUUAUAAGUAUAAUGAAUUAUUAAAGUAACUAAAUGUUUUCAUAAAAUUCCCAAUCUUAGUUACUUAGGCAAAAGUGAAUUGAUGCAAUUCCAUGAAAUUACACUUUGUGCCCUUGCGAAGACGUUAGUGGAGCGUGUGUGGUUAACCGGCACACUAAAUGGUUCUAAGCAAAGGUAGCAAAGGGUGACUCAAUGUUUGUCAUAGUUCGGUGGAGCGUGUGUGGUUUACCGGCACAUCGAAUAGGUGACUGUAACAUGUGAGGGCACCAUGUAAGUUUGCAUGGUUAUUCACACCCGCUUUGUGAUCCUCGGCAUCCCAGUCACAAACAAGAGGGGCAUAUCGAGAUUUAAACAUGCCAUUGAAAGUUCAAUGAAUCUCAAAGGAUCUAGGAGUUUUCAUAGAUUUAAAACUUAAAUUUCUUUUUCGUUUUUCAUGGUGGAAAUUAGUGAAUCGUCAUUCACUUACCUUCAAAUAUUCUGCAAUUAGGGUUACGGCAUCCCUCUCCCGAGUUGUAGAAUAUUGUGUUGGGUCCUAGCCUUAGUAUCUCAUUUGGGUGAUUUACUAAGGACUCAAUCAAUCAACUAACUUGAAUUCGUUUUCUCCCGUUUUGUAGAUGUCAAAGUUCGACAACUAUGGUCUUCCCAAAUCCCGUGGAACAAGCAUUCCACAUGAAGAUGAUAUUCCACGAUUCGAUCGAGGAACAAGAAAUCAUGCUUCACUUCCUCCUCCUCCUCCAAUUAUUCUCCCUAACCCACAAGUUCAAAGGCUUGAAAAGUUCAAGAUCACUCAAGCCCUUUUGGCAAGUAAACAUAAAGAAGGAAAGUCGGUGUGUGCACACGUCCUAGGGAUGAAGUCACACAUUGAUAGGUUAAGAAUGUUGGGAUCCGUUGUCUGUGAGGAAAUGGCUGUUGAUUGGGUUCUUCAGUCACUUCCUAACUCAUAUAGUGAGUUCGUAAGAGAGUACUAUAUGAUGAACCGCGACGUGACCCUUAUAGAUCUCACCUAUAUGCUUAUUGCUGCUGAAUCAGCAAUGGUUUGGCGCAAUAGAAAAGCAAAGUUGAUUGGUGAAUCUGCCUUCAAGACCUCUAUGGAUAUAGACAAUGGCAACGAAAGACAUGCUAUGAUCGAAAAGUUUGAUCAUAAGAGAAAGGCAAUGUCUGAAGUAGUUCCAUGUCAUGUUCCAAAAGAGUCAAUUUGCUUUUAUUGCCAAGAGAAAGGGCAUUGGAGACGAAGCUGCCCCAUUUACCUAAGAGAUCUAAGAGAUGGGAGAGUCGAAACGUAUGGCUCUAAUAUAGGUAAAAUCCAUUAACUAACUCUUUUAAGCUUCUAUUCUAGAUUCUUAAUACAUAAUGUGAUAAGAUUACAAUUGAUGUUUUGUAGGAUCGAAGAAAAGAAAGGAAGCUUAAGGGAAGAAGUGAGCAGAAUCUAACCGUGAAGGAAUGGAUUUCGAUCGCAUUUCUCGAAGAUUAGAUUCUUGAGCUACUACUUAGAGUUAGAAUUAGAUUGCUAAGAAAGAUGUAUUAGCAUAGUUUUUCAAUGAAUUGCAUUGUAAGGACAAAUUUUUUCCGCAAUAAAAUAAAUUUUGAUUUUAUAUUAUUUAUUUAUCCUUGCAAUGGCGUAUAUGAAAAAUUGAUGUUUGAAUGUUUCUAUUAUUAGCAAUAAUGGAUUUGGUUCUUAUUAUGUUAUUUAUGGAAAGUCGAGAGUUUACCAAAUAGGGAGAGUUUCUCAUCGCCCAAGUUUCAAUUGGACAGAAACUUGGAAUCAUGCAACUUGGUUGCACGAUGAAUGAGAAAUUUCAUAUUUGGAAAUUAGACUAAUUCAUUGACAAAGUGUCAAGUGAAGGACUAGGAGAUCGAGUACACAAAGUUGCGUGUUGAUCAAGUCCACCAUAAGAGUAACAAAGAUAUUCGUCAUGAUUUACUAAAGGUUUAGUAAAUAUGAUUAUACUUAUAAGAUUAAGUGUAAUUCUGAAUUGAUUGAAAAAGUUUAAAUCAAUAGCAGAACGAAUAAGAAGAAUCAAGUAGGCAGAAAGAUAAAAGUUUCUCCAUUCUAAGAAGAAGGGAGAGUACCUUUUAUGCUUUAUGAUAGGUCUUAAUGAUUAAGAACCAUAUCUCAAUUGAUCCUCUAAGUGAGUCUUAGUACAAUUGUAUGUCUAAGAAGAGGAAUCAAGAAUUGAAGAAAUGGUUAAAUCAAGAAGUCAAUCAUACUUCGUUCCAAAACAAGUCUUAGAGUUAAGAUUGUGACAUUGAGUGAAAAGUAUUAAGAAGGUUUAUAACAUUCAUCAAAUGUGGAAAGUUGUGAUGUCUUGGAUAAGACAAAGACCAACUAGGACCAAUUUAUGAAGUGUUUUGAUAAAAACUACACUAACUCUUGAAUAUUUGUUUGUCAAGAAAUGUUUAUUGACAAGAGAAUCUUAUAUGUCAAGGAGUCAGUGGGAGUCUUAAUGGUCUUGAAAGGUUUCAAGAACAAAUCAAAUAAACCUUAUCGAUCAUCACUAGCACACGAGUUGAGGUUUACAACCUAUCGUGUUGACAUUAUUUUGUUUCUGUGCCAAUCCAAUCGAGUUAAUUAUGCAUGUGAGUUCUAUGAGUUCUCAUUUUGAACGCAUAAAAGGCAAAGCACCUUAAUCAAUGAAAGGUACAUUGAUAGGAAAGGGUGAGCUGCUUAACUACUUGGAAGACAUGGUGGGCAGCUGUGCUACCAUAAGGCAAGAAAUCAAGAUUAAGAAAGUUCGGUCCAUAUGAGUUUGAAUUUGUCGUAAACUUUGGUUUUAACAAAUUCACAUGGAUAGGAACACAUACACC